rnacentral:rRNA from 1 species
CCUACGGGAGGCAGCAGUGAGGAAUAUUGGUCAAUGGACGAGAGUCUGAACCAGCCAAGUAGCGUGAAGGAUGACUGCCCUAUGGGUUGUAAACUUCUUUUAUAUGGGAAUAAACUGUUCCACGUGUGGGUUUUUGUAUGUACCAUAUGAAUAAGGAUCGGCUAACUCCGUGCCAGCAGCCGCGGUAAUACGGAGGAUCCGAGCGUUAUCCGGAUUUAUUGGGUUUAAAGGGAGCGUAGGUGGCUUGUUAAGUCAGUUGUGAAAGUUUGCGGCUCAACCGUAAAAUUGCAGUUGAAACUGGCAGUCUUGAGUACAGUAGAGGUAGGCGGAAUUCGUGGUGUAGCGGUGAAAUGCUUAGAUAUCACGAAGAACUCCGAUUGCGAAGGCAGCUCACUGGACUGCAACUGACACUGAGGCUCGAAGGUGUGGGUAUCAAACAGGAUUAGAUACCCCAGUAGUC